rnacentral:rRNA from 1 species
CUGGUUGAUCCUGCCAGUAGUCAUAUGCUUGUCUCAAAGAUUAAGCCAUGCAUGUCUAAGUAUAAAUGGAUUAUACAGUGAAACUGCGAAUGGCUCAUUAAAUCAGAAAUAAUUUAUUUGAUGGUGACCUACUACAUGGAUAACCGUAGUAAUUCUAGAGCUAAUACAUGCGUGAAAGUGCGACUUUUUGGAAGCACUGUAUUUAUUAGAUUAAAAACCAAUCGAGCUUGCUCGUUACCUUGGUGAUUCAUAAUAACUAAACGAAUCGUAUGACUUUAUGUCGGCGAUGAUUCAUUCAAAUUUCUGCCCUAUCAACUUUCGAUGGUAAGGUAUUGGCUUACCAUGGUUACAACGGGUGACGGAGAAUUAGGGUUCGAUUCCGGAGAGGGAGCCUGAGAAACGGCUACCACUUCUACGGAGGGCAGCAGGCGCGCAAAUUACCCAAUCCUGACUCAGGGAGGUAGUGACGAAUAAUAACGAUACGUGACUUCGGUCUAGUAAUCGGAAUGAGUACAAUUUAAACCCCUUAAUGAAUUCCAUUGGAGGGCAAGUCUGGU